CGACACCACAAUCCCAGCUCCACAUUAUUGCAUUUCAAAAAUAAUAGUGGCGUUUAGUAUUGUGGAAAUU